UACGAAGGGUGCAAGCGUUACUCGGAAUUACUGGGCGUAAAGCGUGCGUAGGCGGUCUGUUAAGUCCGUUGUGAAAGCCCUGGGCUCAACCUCGGAAUUGCCUUUGAUACUGUCAAUCUCGAGUCCGGGAGAGGUGAGUGGAAUUCCUAGUGUAGAGGUGAAAUUCGUAGAUAUUAGGAAGAACACCAGUGGCGAAGGCGGCUCACUGGCCCGGAACUGACGCUCAUGAGCGAAAGCGUGGGGAGCAAACAGG
rnacentral:rRNA from 1 species